AACUGGGGAUCCUACGCGGGAGGAGUUCUUCGGCCCUCCGCACGAGUGGGCCGGCCCCCUAGUAUGUGCACCGGUCGUUUCAUCCCUUCUGUCGGCGAUGCACUCCUGGACAUAACUGGUUGGGUCGUUCCUCUGGCGCUAAUACUUUGAACAAGUUAGAGUGAUCAAAGCAAUCCUAAACUCAGUAUACAUUAGCAUGGGAUAACAUUAGAGGAUUUUGAUCCUAUUACGUUGGCCUUCGGGAUCAGAGUAAUGAUUAACAGGGACAGUCGGGGGCAUUUGUAUUUCAUAGUCAGAGGUGAAAUUCUUGGAUUUAUGAAAGAUGAACAACUACAAAAGCAUCUGGCAAGGAUGUUUUCAUUAAUCAAGAAUGAAAGUUGGGGGCUCGAAGACGAUCAGAUACCGUCCUAGUCUCAACCAUAAUUGAUGUUGACCAUAGAUCGACGAAUGUUGCUUUUAGGACUCCGCCGGCACCUUAUGAAAAAUCAAAGUUUUUAGGUUCCUAGGGGAAUAUGGUCGCAAGAAUGAAACUUAAAGAAAUUGAUGGAUGGGCACCACCAGGAGUGGAGCCUGCGACUUAAUUUGACUCAACACGGGGAAACUUACCAGGUCCAUACAUAGUAAGGAUUGACAGACUAAGAGAUCUUUCUUGAUUCUAUGGGUGGUGGUACAUGGUUGUUCUUAUUUAGUAGAGCAUUUGUUUGGUUAAUUCUGUUAACGAUCGAGACCUCAACCUGCUAACUAGCUAUAGGGAGGUAUCCCUUCGUUGCAAGUUUCUUAGAGGGACAACGACCCUUUUGGCAGCAAAAGUUUGAGGCAAUAACAGGUCUGUGAUGCCUUUAGAUGUUCUGGGCUGCACGCGCACUACACCGAUUUAUUUAAUGAGUUUAUAGCCUUGGCCAACAGACCCAGGUAAUCUUUGAAAUUUCAUCAUGAUGGGGAUAGAUCAUUGUAUUUCUUGGUCUUCAAUUAGGAAUUCCUAGUAAGUGUGAGUCAUCAGCUCGUGUUGACUACGUCCCUGCCCUUUGUACACACCGCCUGUCGCUCCUCCUGAUUGAAUAAUUUGGUGAAAUGUUUGGAUCGCGGCAACAUGGGCAGUUUACUUCCCACGAUGUUGUGAGAAGUCCAUUGAACCUUAUCAUUUAGAGGAAGGAGAAGUUGUAACAAGGUUUCCAUAGGUGAACCUGCUAAAG
rnacentral:rRNA from 1 species